UACAGAGGUCCCAAGCGUUGUUCGGAUUUAUUGGGCGUAAAGGGUGCGUAGGCGGCGGAGUAAGUUGGGUGUGAAAUCCCGGGGCUCAACCUCGGAAUGGCAUUCAAUACUGCUUCGCUUGAGUACUGGAGAGGAGGCUGGAAUUUACGGUGUAGCAGUGAAAUGCGUAGAUAUCGUAAGGAAGGCCGGUGGCGAAAGCGAGCCUCUGGACAGUUACUGACGCUGAUGCACGAAGGCCAGGGGAGCAAACGGG
rnacentral:rRNA from 1 species